rnacentral:rRNA from 1 species
AACCUGGUUGAUCCUGCCAGUAGUCAUAUGCUUGUCUCAAAGACUAAGCCAUGCACGUCUAAGUACAAACUAAAUGAUGGUGAAACUGCAAAUGGCUCAUUACAACGGUUAUGAUGUACCCGGGAGUUCCGAUGGAUAUUUCCAGUAACACUAGAACUAAUACAUGCUCCUGCGUUUAUUAGUUUCGCACAGUCCGUCGCUGAGUCAUGGUAAACAGUUGAUCGACUCGACGUCCCGGAACAGUUUCCGCCCCAUCAGCUUCGAUGGUUGGGUAUUGGCCUACCAUUGCAACAACGGGUAACGAGGAAUUAGGGUUUGAUUUCGGAGAGGGAGCCUGAGAAACGGCUACCACAUCUACGGAUGGCAGCAGGCGCGCAAAUUACCCAAUGCAGACACUGUGAGGUAGUGAC